rnacentral:tRNA from 2 species
GAGCCGGUAGCUCAGCUUGGUAGAGCAACGGACUUUUAAUCCGUGGGUCGCGGGUUCAAAUCCCGCCCGGCUCA